UACGUAGGGUGCGAGCGUUGUCCGGAAUUAUUGGGCGUAAAGGGCUCGUAGGCGGUUUGUCGCGUCGGGAGUGAAAUCCACUGGCUUAACUGGUGGCUUGCUUUCGAUACGGGCAGACUGGAGGUAUGCAGGGGAGAACGGAAUUCCUGGUGUAGCGGUGAAAUGCGCAGAUAUCAGGAGGAACACCGGUGGCGAAGGCGGCUUCCUGGACCGAUUACUGACGCUGAGGCGCGAAAGCUAGGGGAGCAAACGGG
rnacentral:rRNA from 1 species